GAUCCUUUAACUUACACAAAAUCCACAGGUUUAGAUUCAUCGUCACAUUUCAUUAGAUGCAGAGUAGCUUAUACAACAAAUACAUAUAUGCUAACAAAGAUCUGCCCAAAAUCUUCUAAACUUUCCACUGCCUCAGCCCAUUCUUAACAUUUAAGCAAGCGAUACGCUAUCCUGAAAAAUUUAUCAACAAACGGGGUGAGCAUAAAGAGCUCAGUAAGUGACUAACAUAUCCAUAUCAAAAUAGUACAAUUUCCAAAGGGAUACAGUUUCAAAAUACAAGGCAGAAUAUACGAUUUUCGUAGACAUAAUAUCAUUAGGAGCAGAAACACAAUUGUCUUUUUAAUCAUACAUAUUUGGUUCCUGACAGAUGGGGCAUAGAGUAAUUGGAGCAUAUCAAAAACAAAGGAAACAUAUCGGAGCUUAUCAAUGGCAUAUAAAAUGUUCCGAAACAUAUC
rnacentral:lncRNA from 1 species